AACUAGCCCUGAUAGAAGUGGAAAUCCUUUACUUUUUUUCUUUAAAAAAGUAAAGAUUGAAGCGGAUAGCAGGAAUAGCU
rnacentral:snRNA from 1 species